UAUGGCCACAUCACAUUGAAACACCAGUUUCUGUAUGAUCACUGAAGUUAAGCAACAUCAAGCCUGGUCAGUACCUAGAUGGAUGAUCACCUCAGAAUACUAGGUGUUGUAAG